rnacentral:siRNA from 1 species
GUAGCUUUUUCCGAUUUGCUGCCU